rnacentral:rRNA from 1 species
GACAGAGGAUGCAAGCGUUAUCCGGAAUGAUUGGGCGUAAAGCGUCUGUAGGUGGCUUUUCAAGUCCGCCGUCAAAUCCCAGGGCUCAACCCUGGACAGGCGGUGGAAACUGCCAAGCUGGAGUACGGUAGGGGCAGAGGGAAUUUCCGGUGGAGCGGUGAAAUGCGUAGAGAUGUGGAGGAACACCGAUGGCGAAGGCAGCCUUCUGGGCCAACACUGACGCUCAUGCACGAAAGCGUGGGGAGCAAACAGG